rnacentral:rRNA from 1 species
GAUGAACGCUAGCUACAGGCUUAACACAUGCAAGUCGAGGGGAAACGAUGAGAGAGCUUGCUCUCUUAGGCGUCGACCGGCGCACGGGUGAGUAACGCGUAUCCAACCUACCCCUUACAGGGGGAUAACCUUGCGAAAGUAAGACUAAUACCCCAUGGCAUUUUAUGGUGGCAUCAUUAUAGGAUUAAAGAUUUAUUGGUAAUGGAUGGGGAUGCGUCUGAUUAGCUUGUUGGCGGGGUAACGGCCCACCAAGGCAACGAUCAGUAGGGGUUCUGAGAGGAAGGUCCCCCACAUUGGAACUGAGACACGGUCCAAACUCCUACGGGAGGCAGCAGUGAGGAAUAUUGGUCAAUGGGCGAGAGCUUGAACCAGCCAAGUAGCGUGCAGGAUGACGGCCCUAUGGGUUGUAAACUGCUUUUAUAGGGGAAUAAAGUGAGCUACGUGUAGUUUAUUGCAUGUACCCUAUGAAUAAGAACCGGCUAAUUCCGUG